rnacentral:rRNA from 1 species
UAUCCUGUCUGAAUAUGGGGGGACCAUCCUCCAAGGCUAAAUACUCCUGACUGACCGAUAGUGAACCAGUACCGUGAGGGAAAGGCGAAAAGAACCCCGGCGAGGGGAGUGAAAAAGAACCUGAAACCGUGUACGUACAAGCAGUGGGAGCACAGGUUUACCUGUGUGACUGCGUACCUUUUGUAUAAUGGGUCAGCGACUUAUAUUCUGUAGCAAGGUUAACCGAAUAGGGGAGCCGGAGGGAAACCGAGUCUUAAUUGGGCGUUAAGUUGCAGGGUAUAGACCCGAAACCCGGUGAUCUAGCCAUGGGCAGGUUGAAGGUUGGGUAACACUAACUGGAGGACCGAACCGACUAAUGUUGAAAAAUUAGCGGAUGACCUGUGGCUGGGGGUGAAAGGCCAAUCAAACCGGGAGAUAGCUGGUUCUCCCCGAAAGCUAUUUAGGUAGCGCCUCGUGAAUUCAUCUCCGGGGGUAGAGCACUGUUUCGGCUAGGGGGCCAUCCCGGCUUACCAACCCGAUGCAAACUGCGAAUACCGGAGAAUGUUAUCACGGGAGACACACGGCGGGUGCUAACGUCCGUCGUGAAGAGGGAAACAACCCAGACCGCCAGCUAAGGUCCCAAAGUCAUGGUUAAGUGGGAAACGAUGUGGGAAGGCCCAGACAGCCAGGAUGUUGGCUUAGAAGCAGCCAUCAUUUAAAGAAAGCGUAAUAGCUCACUGGUCGAGUCGGCCUGCGCGGAAGAUGUAACGGGGCUAAACCAUGCACCGAAGCUGCGGCAGCGACACUGUGUGUUGUUGGGUAGGGGAGCGUUCUGUAAGCCUGCGAAGGUGUCCCGUGAGGGAUGCUGGAGGUAUCAGAAGUGCGAAUGCUGACAU